rfam:Homo sapiens chromosome 10, GRCh38 reference primary assembly.
GCUGGGCGUGGUGGUGUGCGCCUGUAAUCUCAGCUACUUGGGAGGCUGAGGCAAGAGAAUUGUUUGAGCCCGGGAGGCAGAGGUUGCAAUGAGCAGAUAUCAUGCCAUUGCACUCCAGCCUGGGCAACAGAGCAAGACUCUGUCUCAG